rnacentral:pre_miRNA from 1 species
UCUUAUGGAUGAGCAAAGAAAGUGAUUUUUUGAGAUGGAAUCUACUCCGGGUGAAGAUGCUGUGAA